rnacentral:rRNA from 1 species
CACUCCUGCGGGAGGCAGCAGUGGGGAAUUUUGGACAAUGGGCGAAAGCCUGAUCCAGCAAUGCCGCGUGAGUGAAGAAGGCCUUCGGGUUGUAAAGCUCUUUUGUCAGGGAAGAAACGGUGAAAGCUAAUAUCUUUUGCUAAUGACGGUACCUGAAGAAUAAGCACCGGCUAACUACGUGCCAGCAGCCGCGGUAAUACGUAGGGUGCAAGCGUUAAUCGGAAUUACUGGGCGUAAAGCGUGCGCAGGCGGUUUUGUAAGUCUGAUGUGAAAUCCCCGGGCUCAACCUGGGAAUUGCAUUGGAGACUGCAAGGCUAGAAUCUGGCAGAGGGGUGUAGAAUUCCACGUGUAGCAGUGAAAUGCGUAGAUAUGUGGAGGAACACCGAUGGCGAAGGCAGCCCCCUGGGUCAAGAUUGACGCUCAUGCACGAAAGCGUGGGGAGCAAACAGGAUUAGAAACCCCGGUAGUCCC